GACGAACGCUGGCGGCGUGCCUAAUACAUGCAAGUCGAACGCAGUGGGGACGGGUGAGUAACACGUGGGUAACCUCCCAUCAGAGGGGAGAACACUUGGAAACAGGUGCUAAACCGAUAUUGGUGGAUGGCGCCGGGGGGUAUUAGAUAGUUGGUGGGGUAACGGCUAACCAAGGCCACGAUGCAUAGCCGACCUGAGAGUGGUAUCGGCCAAACUGGGACUGAGACACGGCCCAGACUCCUACGGGAGGCAGCAUUGGGGAAUAUUGGGCAAUGGACGAAAGUCUGACCGAGCCACGCCGCGUGAGUGAAGAAGGUUUUCGGAUCGUAAAACUCUGUUGUUAGAGAAGCGGUAUCUAACCAGAAAGCCACGGCUAACUACGUGCCAGCAGCCGCGGUAAUAC
rnacentral:rRNA from 1 species